AUCACAUGCAAAGGUAGGGGUGAAAUAAGAAUUAGGCCUUUCAUUCUUGACUAUCUUCUAAAUUUGUCAAAAAAAAAAAUGAGGAUCCUAUAGAGAUUUAAUAGAGUAAAACAGCUAAGCAUCUUAAAUCAAAAGUGUAUUGCUGAGUAUCUAGGUUUUAAAUUCAGUGUUGUCUCUGGAGCAAUUUCACAUUAGGAAUGCCCAAUCUGUUGAACAGGAUUGAUUUUUGCUAAGUAUAUCUUGACAUCUAUUUCAAAAGUUAAUCUAUUUCCUUCCCAAAUGCUAGAAAUGAUCAGGGUUUAACUUCCUACUUGGAUGAUGAUAAUGAUGAUAUUAAGACACCAAUAACAUAGUUGUAUGGAGUUAUAUAAUCUUUAUGAAUUAGCUUGAUCAUAAAAAUACAGAAAGGGACAUGGGUAGAUUUUACCAUAAACCUUAGAUAUCUAGGGAGAAAGCGGAGAUAAAUGACCAACCAAGACUAUAUGUCAAGGCCACAAGGCUAAGUGGGAUGAGCUAACUGGGUAAUAAAACUCUUAUUAAGAGUACUCUAUAGUAGGUAGAUAUACUACUUCUCUCUUACUAUCUAAUGUCAAAAUUCCCUUGGUCUUAAACUUCAUUUGAAAAUAGAAAAAUUGAUGUUUGGAGUGCACAAUGUCUGCUAAUAUUUCCUAUAGUAAUGUUUCAGUUUGUAAUCAGUUAUCAGAGCUGAAGUUUGUUUGCACUUAAAAAAAGAUCCUAGGAGUUCCCUUGUAGCACAAUGGGCCCAGUGUUGUCACUACAAUGGCUUGGAUCACUGCUGUGACAUGGCUUCAGUCCCUAGCCCAGGAACUUCCAUAUGCUAUAGGUCAGCCAAAAAAGUGACUCUAUUUUUACAAGAAUCAUUUGCAAACGAUUGUUUUAUGUUUGGUUGCUUUUUCCCUCCAUAGCAAUGUCAUUUGCAUUUCACACAAAAGGCAUUAUCAAUCAUAUCUUUUGUGUGGAAAUCAAGUUAUACAACUGUACUAAAAUAUGAGGUUAAUUUUUUAUGUUAUUGCUCAUUUAAUUUAAUUUAUUCAUAUUUUCCUAGUUUUAUCGAGAUAUAAUUAACAAAUAAAGUCGUAUGUAUUUAAAGUACACAAUAUGACGGUUUGAUAUAUGUAUACAUUUUAAAAUGAUCACCACAAUCAAGUUAAUUGAAAUCAAUUUCAAAAAUUAAUAAUAAUUUCCAUUUCCUUUUUGGUGAUGAGGACACCUAAUAUCCAUUCUCUUAGCAAAUUUCAGUUAUACAAUAUAUUAUUACCUAUAGUCACAGUUCUAUACAUUAGUUCACCAAAAGUUAUUCCAUCAGUGGACAUAAGUUUCAUCCAGCCCAAGAGUUCCAGGCUGCCCCUUCUGAUGAACUACUCAAAAGAUUUUGCCUUGCCUAGACAGCCCCACUACUGUGUGGGUGCACCCUUCCCUAGCCACUUUGAGUGUUGGCUACUAACACUCUAAGCCGCAUCUUCUGAGAAUCACCCUCUACACACUAGGAGGUUGGCUCCACAACCCCCAACCCAUACAAAUCCUUGUGAAUAUAUUGUGUCCAGCUGAUAAUCUGUAAUAAUCUAUUUUAAGUUGAAUCCUUUAAAUGUGUUAAUAUGACUUCUGGUCCAAGAUAGUGACUUAAAAGGCUCCUGGACUCAUAUCCUCCCACAGACUAACUGAAUAUAUAGCAACACAUGGAUCAAUUUCCACUGAAAGAAAUUAAAAACUAGCUGAGUAACUCCAGAACAUAUGAACAAGAAAAAAAAAAAUCCACGUCACAACAUGGUUCAUUGCAGCAAGCAGACAGAAAAAGCCAACUCCACGUCUUUCCCUGAAAGAGGUUGACUUGCAUACCUUAAAAAUGCUGCCUGGGGAGUUCCCGUCGUGGCGCAGCGGAAACGAAUCUGACUAGGAAGCAAGAGGCGGCAGGUUGAUCCCUGGCCUUGCUCAGUGGGUUAAGGAUCUGGGGAUGCCAGGAGCUGUGGUGUGGGUCGCAGACGUGGCUUGGAACCCGUGUUGCUGUGGCGUAGGCCGUCGGCUACAGCUCUGAUUAGACCCCUAGCCUGGGAACCUCCAUAUGCUGCGGGUGCGGCCCUGAAAAGACAAAACAAACAGACAGACAAACAAACAAACAACAACAAAAAAUGCUGCCUGGGUAUCCAGCUUCUAAUCAGUCUGUAUCUAGGUGCUAAGACUCUGGUCUUUGGGUCACUGAAAGGUCAUGGCACACCCUUAUCUCCUGGAGACACUAAGAACAAAGAAAGAGGCUUAGAUAAUCACAAAGGUUUUAGAGACAACCAAGAAUUUGGGAUGGGCUCAUUGUUAACAGAUACCAUCUACAGGAGACCGAGACUGGGGGGUAUGGCUGUUUUACCUACUGUGCAGAAACCAACACAGAGAGUAAAGGAAAAUGAAGGCACAGAAAUAGGCUUUCAAACAAAAGAGUAAGCUAAAACUCCAGAAAUGGAUCUUAAUGAAAAGGAAAGGAGAUAAAUGAUUAACCUGUCAACAAGUUCAAAGUAAUGGUUGUAAAAAUGCUCACCAAGGUCAGGAAAAACAAUUAACAAAGUGAAGAUUUCAACGAAGAGGUAGAAAAUAUAAAAAGUACAAAACAGAAAUCACAGAGCUGAGAAGUGCCAAAUCUAAAUGCAAGGAAAGAACAUUGUGGAAAAGUAAAAUAUAUGGGGAAACCAAUGGAAGAUAAAAGUUAUUUUGACAAGGUCUGUCUGUACAAAUUUCUCUCAGCUUUGGAUUCCCAUCUUUGGUAUUAAGAACGUUUCUUUCCUCCAGGUAGAGGGAGGGCACCUUUCCUGUGAGUUUUAUCUCUUGCUUUCAGGAAGACAAAGGGGAGGUCAGAACACUCUUCUUGCCAUUGCUGUUUUUCAGAUGCCUUUGGCGAAAAAUAAGCCUUAUACCAAAGUGGCAUAUUUGGGCGUGGCAUAUUCUGACACCCUUUACACAGCAAACAGUAAAAACAUUACAGUUUAUCAACAUUGGAUAAACAUGAAUAUCUGUGGGAGAUGUAGCAACUGUAUUUAUCAUUAACUUAUAAAAGAUCCCUUAAAUUACUUGUCUAUAACCUAUAUUUUAAUAGUCUGGUUUUUCUAUCACAAUGGGUCAUACACUCAGAGGGAAAGGGAAGAAAGUAACUAGAAAAGCCUGAUGUAGACACUGUAACCACAGGCAGGAAUGUGCUACAAAAUCAGGAGACUGUAAGUUUUCUGUGAAAAAAGAAACUGAAACAACAUAUACAUGGGAGUCAUGGGAGUCUGUGUAACUCCUUGGAAGCUGUUUGCAGAUCUGAGUACUGGAACUUAUGAUUUCAGAAUCAGUUACAUGAAUGAGCAGUGGAUAAAACAGGAGUUGAGAAAUGUACACUCAUGUUGAAUCUUUAGCUUUGUCUUAAAAUAAGGAAAUGGGUUCCUUGAUAAUGAAAUGUUUUGUUUAUUUGAGGGCAUUUCUUGUUUAUUUGAGGGCAUUUCUUGUUUUGUUUGUUUUGUUUCACUUCUUGACUUAUUUGGGUGCUAGGUCUUUAUAUGUUUACUAGAAAAGUAUUAAUUUACUUUUUAUACGUGGUCAUGUUCAACUUUUGAUAAACAGCAAAUGGGUAGCUUGUGUCUUUAUGGGUUUUUUGUUUGUUUAUUUGUUGUAGUGUGCUAAUUCCAAAGUUUUUCAGCUCUUAAAAAAGCCUAAUGUAUUUAGUCAUAUUAUAUCAUACAAAGAAUCACCACUGGUUAUAUAGCAAGGGAAAAGUAGUAGAACUAAAUAAUCUUCCUAUGAUAUGUCUGAAAGCCUUGUUUCUAUAUGGGUAGGUGAAACAUCCCAAGGGAGAAAGAUCAUAAAGCAAAUAGAAGACAGUGACAAAUAUUACAUGUCUGAUGUUAGACCCUAAAUAUGGGUGCAUUAUAGCACAUUAUAAAAUCUGAUCUCAAAAAUUAUCCAUAAAAAAAUUAACCAUUCCUACUACUAUUCAAAGGAUUAGUGUAUUAAAAGACCCAUAAAACUUGAGGGAGUUUUAUGAAUCCUAUAGUAAUAAAUAUAACUGAAUUAAAGGCUAAGAAUGAUAUUUUAGCAACAGGGGAAUUACUCUUGUGAUUACCAGGUAUAUCACUUUUACAAGAGUAUUUUUAUUUAGUUGUAUUUCCUGGCCUUAUCUUUAAAAUUUAUUGGAAUAGAUUAUUAUUUUUAACAGCUCUGCAAAGAGGGAAAUUGAGUAGAGCUUUAUGAUUUACAAAAUGUUUUGCUCAAGCAGCUUUAUAUCUGUAAGAAAGUGAAAUUUCCAAAAUCCAAUAAUGAAAAUGAGCUUGCUGACAUUCUUGAAUUAAUAUAAAGAAAACUUAUAUAUACUCAAAAUAAUUUGAGUAUCAUGAGCUGUACUUUUUCUCAGACUUGAUAAUGGGCGUGAUGUUACUUGCUAUACCCACUUAGGAUGUGGUUAGGAUUAAUUCAGUCUUUAAAAGUAUCAAAUAUCUUAGGAGUUGGGGUAUAAGGAAAAAAAAAAACCAACAGUGUUUUCAGGUUAAAAAAAACUGUUAUUCACCUGAUGAGGUAGAAUUUUAUUCUAUAAAUUACUUCAUUGCUGUACAUAGCAAUCUCUGCUUAUAAACUUUACUUUUUAGGGCCCUAGACAAAGAUACUAACCAUGUGUCAAAAUCUCCCUUUUUUAAUGAAUACUCUUUAAUUUCAAAAAAUUCUGGAACAUUUACCUUUAAUUGAUUGAUUCAUACAAUCUAAGAAGACCCUCAUUUCUGUAUACAAAUUUGUAGUUUGAAUGCAGUGUUUGUGUUCCAUUAGUAUUUAUGGAAAAUUAUUUUCUGAGGUGGACUGGUUAAAAGUAAAUUUGCAUACUCAGUUAAGGGAAUUAAUAAAAUACCUUAGCUACAUUCUUUUCCAUUAUGUAACCUUACUAAGUAACAAGCAAAUAUCCCUGAGCCAUUCCAAACCACGACUGGUUUCUAUUAAAUUCUGUUAAUUCAAAUCCUAUUUAUUGGGAUUACUUUUAUAGCAUCUCCUCAAAGUACCUUUUAUAUAAACUCAUGACCUGCUGUUGAGGAAGAGAAAGCAAUGACCACAUAGCUAGUUCUUAGAGGCCCUAGACUUGAAGAUGUGGAAAUAGAGCUACCUGUAAAACUCAGCCUGUGCACUUUGUAAAUACUCAUAUUUAGAGGUAAGAUCAUAAAAUAAAUGAUUUAGGUCAGUCUGUUGCUAAUGUACAGAGAAAAUGAAAUGAGGGACUAAAGAACUGUCAGUAAUAAACAAGGAUAUUUUUAAAUCCUUGAAUGAAAAUAAAAGCCAGUUUGAAUGUUGAAGAUGAUUAGAACAGCAAGAGGUAAAUGAGGUAAAUGAUUUUUUUUUUUCCUUUUUAGGGCCACACCCAUGGCAUAUAGAGGUUCCCAUGCUUGGGGUGGAAUCAGAGCUGUAGCUGCUGGCGUACACCACAACCACGGCAACUCGGGAUCCCAGCCCCAUCUGUAACCUACACCACAGCUCACGCUUUAACCCACUUUAACCAGACUUUAACCCACUGAGGGAGGCCAGGAAUUGAACCUGUGUCCACAUUGAUACUAGUCAGAUUUGUUUCUGCUAAGCCAUGAUGGGAAUUCCUAAAUGAUUUUUUUUAAUGUGCUAAUUCUCAGAAGACCAAACAUUAAAAACAAAACAAAACAAAAACAAAAAAAAA
rnacentral:lncRNA from 1 species